rnacentral:ncRNA from 1 species
UCUAGGGUUGUGCUCCAGAGUACCACGGGACACGGGAAAUCCUGUGGGAAGCUGGGAGGACCACCUCCUAAGGCUAAAUACUACCUGGUGACCGAUAGUGAAGCAGUACCGUGAGGGAAAGGUGAAAAGAACCCCGGGAGGGGAGUGAAAUAGAACCUGAAACCCUAUGUCUACAAGCAGUGGAAGCACUUUUCAUGUGCAACCGCGUACUUUUUGUAGAACGGGCCAGCGAGUUACGUUAUGCAGCGAGGUUAAGGACUUUAGGUCUGGAGCCGCAGGGAAACCGAGUCUUAAAC